AGAGUUUGAUCCUGGCUCAGGAUGAACGCUAGCGGCAGGCCUAAUACAUGCAAGUCGAGGGAUACUAUUGGAUUCGUCUGAUGGGAAACCGGCGCACGGGUGCGUAACACGUAUGCAACCUACCUAUAACUGGGGUAUAGCUCAGAGAAAUCUGAAUUAAUCCCCCAUAAGAUUAUGUUCUGGCAUCAGGAAGUAAUUAAAGCUGAGGCGGUUAUAGAUGGGCAUGCGUUGCAUUAGCUAGUUGGUGAGGUAAUGGCUCACCAAGGCUACGAUGCAUAGGGGGUUUGAGAGGAUGAUCCCCCACACUGGUACUGAGACACGGACCAGACUCCUACGGGAGGCAGCAGUAGGGAAUAUUGGUCAAUGGACGCAAGUCUGAACCAGCCAUGCCGCGUGCAGGAAGACGGCCCUAUGGGUUGUAAACUGCUUUUAUAUGGGAAGAAACCCCCUGAUGCGUUAGGGGCUGACGGUACCAUAUGAAUAAGGAUCGGCUAACUUCGUGCCAGCAGCCGCGGUAAGACGAAGGAUCCAAGCGUUGUCCGGAUUUACUGGGUUUAAAGGGUGCGUAGGCGGGAAAUUAAGUCAGUGGUGAAAGCCCUCAG
rnacentral:rRNA from 1 species